rnacentral:rRNA from 1 species
GAUGAACGCUGGCGGCGUGCCUAACACAUGCAAGUCGAGCGGUAAGGCUCUCACAGUUUGCUUAAUCGAGAUUAAUCACAAUUAUUACUGGCUAGUAAUGAAAAGGAAGAAAUCGUUUGAGAUCGAGCAAAGCGUGAGAGUACACGAGCGGCGGACGGGUGAGUAACGCGUGGGAAUCUACCCCAAAGUGAGGGAUAAGCACCGGAAACGGUGUCUAAUACCGCAUAUGAUCUUCGGAUUAAAGCUUUAU